CAUAAUUCAAGGGACUGGGACGUGUGCCCAUGUGGCACGAAGCAAUCGGAAGUGGUUCCAAGAAAAGCCUCUAAGCUUCAGUCAUACGAGACCGUACCGCAAACCGACACAGGCGUAACGAUCUGGGAGCUGUCUCGGAGAGAGACUCGGCGAAAUAGAAUUGUCUGUGAACGAUACGGACUACCUGC
rnacentral:rRNA from 1 species